UACGGGGGGGGCAAGCGUUGUUCGGAAUUACUGGGCGUAAAGGGUUCGUAGGUGGCUUGUUAAGUCAGACGUGAAAUCCCUCGGCUCAACCGGGGAACUGCGUCUGAGACUGAUGAGCUCGAGUGCAGGAGAGGAACGCGGAAUUCCAGGUGUAGCGGUGAAAUGCGUAGAUAUCGAGAGGAACACCUGCGGCGAAGGCGGGUUGCUGGGCUGACACUGACGCUGAGGCGCGAAAGCCAGGGGAGCGAACGGGG
rnacentral:rRNA from 1 species